GGAUUUCGUCUGGAAAUUUGCUGGACGUGUGGACUUCAAGUUUUGACCAUCUUUGAAUUGUAAAUGCAGAUAAAAAGUGAAAUUGUUUAGAUUUCUGCAAGUUCUUGUAAAUUGUUGCAUAUUGUUAAACGACUUACGAAGUAUAAUUGGUAUGUUAGAUUUAACAAUCUUAUUUCAUUUCAAUUGUGUAUUUUAGGAGAAAUAGCCAGAAAACUAUUUGUGUGAAGGAAAAAUACGAAACAGUUACCACAAUCUGUUUAUAAGGUCAAAUAUUUCGCAUCGUUGAUGUCGGAAGUUCAAUUUGGAAAUAUAGAAUAACUUUUGGUGUGCAAUGUAAUAAACCUUUUCUGCUUCGUUAUUUUUGUAAUUAAUUGACGAUUUGAAACCAAUGCGCGAAUGACAAAUCGGCAACCAAGAUUUAUGAAUUGAUACGCAGAAUAAAAACAUAGGAUUAUUUUAAGUUUAAUCAAAGUGUAAACAGCAUUUUGUCAGCCAUUCUUCAAAAUUAUUUGUGUUUGCAAA